rnacentral:rRNA from 1 species
AUACGGAGGAUGCGAGCGUUAUCCGGAUUUAUUGGGCUUAAAGGGUGCGUAGGCUGUGCGUUAAGUCAGGGGUGAAAUGCCGUCGCUCAACGACGGAGCUGCCCUUGAUACUGGCGUGCUGGAGUACGGAUGCCGUUGAAGGAAUGAGUGGUGUAGCGGUGAAAUGCUUAGAUAUCACUCAGAACACCGAUUGCGAAGGCAUCUGACGAAUCCGUCACUGACGCUGAGGCACGAAAGCGUGGGGAUAGAACAGGAUUAGAUACCCUGGUAUUCCACGCCGUAAACGAUGAUGACUAACCGUCGGCGAUAGACAGCCGGUGGCCAAGCGAAAGCGAUAAGUCAUCCACCUGGGGAGUACGUCGGCAACGAUGAAACUCAAAUGAAUUGACGGGG